CCUACGGGGGGCAGCAGUGGGGAAUAUUGCACAAUGGGGGGAACCCUGAUGCAGCGACGCCGCGUGGGUGAAGGAGUAUUUCGGUAUGUAAAGCCCUAUCAGCAGGGAAGAACAAUGACGGUACCUGACUAAGAAGCACCGGCUAAAUACGUGCCAGCAGCCGCGGUAAUACGUAUGGUGCAAGCGUUAUCCGGAUUUACUGGGUGUAAAGGGAGCGCAGGCGGCGCGUUAAGCCUGGUGUGAAAGCCCGCGGCCCAACCGCGGGACUGCAUUGGGAACUGGCGCGCUGGAGUGCCGGAGGGGUAGGCGGAAUUCCUAGUGUAGCGGUGAAAUGCGUAGAUAUUAGGAGGAACACCAGUGGCGAAGGCGGCCUACUGGACGGUAACUGACGCUGAGGCUCGAAAGCGUGGGGAGCAAACAGGAUUAGAUAC
rnacentral:rRNA from 1 species